UGGGGAAUAUUGCACAAUGGGCGAAAGCCUGAUGCAGCAACGCCGCGUGAGUGAUGAAGGCCUUCGGGUUGUAAAGCUCUGUCUUUUGGGACGAUAAUGACGGUACCAAAGGAGGAAGCCACGGCUAACUACGUGCCAGCAGCCGCGGUAAUACGUAGGUGGCAAGCGUUGUCCGGAUUUACUGGGCGUAAAGGAUGCGUAGGCGGAUUUUUAAGUGAGAUGUGAAAUACCCGGGCUUAACUUGGGUGCUGCAUUUCAAACUGGGAGUCUAGAGUGCGGGAGAGGAGAAUGGAAUUCCUAGUGUAGCGGUGAAAUGCGUAGAGAUUAGGAAGAACACCAGUGGCGAAGGCGAUUCUCUGGACCGUAACUGACGCUGAGGCAUGAAAGCGUGGGUAGCAAACAGGAUUAGAUACCCUGGUAGUCCACGCCGUAAACGAUGAGUACUAGGUGUAGGAGGUAUCGACCCCUUCUGUGCCGCAGUUAACACAAUAAGUACUCCGCCUGGGAAGUACGAUCGCAAGAUUAAAACUCAAAGGAAUUGACGGGGUCAUAGCUGUUUCC
rnacentral:rRNA from 1 species